rnacentral:rRNA from 1 species
GAAUUGCAGGUUGGCGCCUCUGCGGCGGCGGCGGUCCAAGUCCCUUGGAACAGGGCGCCAUUGAGGGUGAGAGCCCCGUGGGACCGUUUGCCUAUGCUCUGAGGCCCUUCUGACGAGUCGAGUUGUUUGGGAAUGCAGCUCUAAGCGGGUGGUAAAUUCCAUCUAAGGCUAAAUACUGGCGAGAGACCGAUAGCGAACAAGUACUGUGAAGGAAAGAUGAAAAGCACUUUGAAAAGAGAGUGAAACAGCACGUGAAAUUGUUGAAAGGGAAGGGUAUUGCGCCCGACAUGGAGCGUGCGCACCGCUGCCCCUCGUGGGCGGCGCUCUGGGCGUGCUCUGGGCCAGCAUCGGUUUUUGCCGCGGGAGAAGGGCGGCGGGCAUGUAGCUCUUCGGAGUGUUAUAGCCUGCCGCCGGCGCCGCGAGCGGGGACCGAGGAACUGCGACUUUUGUCUCGGAUGCUG